UACGUAGGGUGCAAGCGUUGUCCGGAAUUAUUGGGCGUAAAGAGCUUGUAGGCGGUCUGUCGCGUCUGCUGUGAAAAUCCGGGGCUCAACCCCGGACUUGCAGUGGGUACGGGCAGACUAGAGUGUGGUAGGGGAGACUGGAAUUCCUGGUGUAGCGGUGAAAUGCGCAGAUAUCAGGAGGAACACCGAUGGCGAAGGCAGGUCUCUGGGCCACUACUGACGCUGAGGAGCGAAAGCAUGGGGAGCGAACAGG
rnacentral:rRNA from 1 species